CCAGCGGGCCGGGUGGCCGCUUCUCGCUUCGGCGGGGAGAGGAAAGUCCGAACUCCAGAGGGCAGGGUGCCGGCUAACGGCCGGGCGUCGCGAGGCGACGGAAAGUGCCACAGAGACAAACCGCUGUGCUGACCGGCCGGGCGCUGGAGCCGCCGCUCCAGAAUCGGGCCGGUCAGCACAGUAAGGGUGAAAUGGUGCGGUAAGAGCGCACCGGCGUCGUGGAGACACGGCGGCCGGGCAAACCCCACCCGGAGCAAGGCUACAUAGGGGACCGUGCUCGCUUCGGCGAGCUAAGGGCGGCCCGUCCGAGAGUCCCGGGUCAGCCGCUCGAGCUGCGAGGCAACUCGCAGCCCAGAUAGAUGGCCACCGCCCGCAAGGGAACAGAAUUCGGCUUACAGGCCCGCUGGCACA
rnacentral:RNase_P_RNA from 1 species